rnacentral:lncRNA from 1 species
UUGUGCAAGUUCCUUUAUCCCUCAUGCAACUUGAUACCAAAUGAUCAGCAGCAGAAAUAAAUUCCUGAAUUUGAUCCCUUUUGCUUAGAAUCUGCAAUUUCCCCUAUUACAACUCAAACAAAAAAAGAAGUACAAGAUAUGACUUCAAACAGCACAAAUUCCUGGCGAUAACCCACGAGAGAUAUGAGUCAAACUCUUAAAAGUCCUGAAAUCAAAAUUAUGGAUGGAUGGAUGGAAAUCUGGAAAUUUGAGAUUUGUUCCCAGCUCACCUCUAAACAGGAUAGCUACUCUGCAAUUUCAAACUUAAAUACCAUAAAAUGCCAAUUAGGAGAUUAAGAUGAAAUCUGUUAUCAACCAAUCAGUAGCAUUGACAGUGAAAACAAAUUUAUGGCACGCAAAAAGCAAAAGAAAGAGGGGGAAGCAAUAUUUUUCUCAAUUAUUUAAAGGAUGCAUUAAUACUAUUGAUGAAUUUCUGAUAUCUCUUAAAAUGUCAGUUCCAUACAUCACAGCUUAUCAAAAAACACAAGAAAAACCAACAGCCAGAACAACGCACAUUCCAAUAAAUGCAUCCAAACAACUAUCAAAUUAAAUAAUAUUGAAAAAGAUUAAAAAACACAAACCUUGGUUGUCAAUUUAAAAUCAGCUUCUCUCCAUUUCCCACUUCUCACAUGUCCAUCACAAGCACAAAUCCUCCUCAAAACCCCCAAUAUCAAACCGAUUGCCAGGUCAGCAACAUCAUCAGUCAACACAUCAGGGGUAUUUGUAACCCUAAUUCCCUUCUCCUCACACUUUUUCAAAUCAAUUUUAUCCAGUCCCACACUGUACGAAGCCACAAACUCCAAUUUUGGCAAUGCAUCAAUCAGCUCCGCAUCUGCACCAAUUUUAGUAUUGCCUACAAUCGCUUUGAUUUUGUGUUGAUUGGUUUUCAAGAAGUCAGCUUUUGAAGGUUGCUGCCAGAGUUUGAAGAGAUUGAAACGAGCUUCUAAUUCUUGUUCGAGGUAUGAGUACAUUGGGCAGGUCAUUAGGACUCCGAUAGUUUCCAUAUUGAGUCUGUGUAUUUUUUUUGAAAGGGGAAUUAGGGUUAGGGUUUGUGUGGGGUUUAAAAUUGGUUAUUGUGGUUAAGCUUUUUGUAGAAUUUUGUAACGUAAGGAGAGAGAGCUUAAUCCUAAACCUGGUCACUUUCAUCAAUAUAAUUAACUUGUUUGAUUUUUUUUUUGAAAUUAACUUGUUUGAAAAUUUUAGUUUAGUAAAUUAAAAUUUGUAUAAGAAAGUUUCUUAACAAUAUGAAAUUAUUCUUAAAAAUUAAUCCUAAAAAAUUUAUGAUUUAUGUUAAGUAAUUUAUUUAUAUAAUUUGAGGUUUUUUAUUUAAAAAUUCGAAUACAAUAUAAUAUAAAUGUAUCUUUUGGCAUUUUUAUACACAACCUAAUUAGAAAUAUAAAAUUAUUUUUCAAACCAUGAUUAUAGUAUUGAUGAAAACUGGUAAAGACUUUUCCUUUCAAUCUUCAAAACUACAGUUAUGCAUCACACAUGAGCAGAAAUUUGAGAUUUAUCGAACACAAAAUGUCCUUUCAUAAGAGUAAUAUCUCUUAAAGGGUGCUAAGAAGAAAAUAAAUUCAGACAUACAAAUUGGAAGCUUGAGAAUACUUCCUUCCAUCAAGGCAUUCCUGCCAAGUCCUGGAAAAUAAUGAUCUCCAGAUCAAUUGCAAGUCACAGAAGCAUGAUGAUGCCUCUGAUCAGUCUUGUAUUCACAAAUUUUUAUGUCAACAUCAGACCACUGGAGUUAACAGAGGUUUGUUCAAGAAAUGUGCUUCCAAGUUACCAACAACAAGGUCAGCCAUGGCUUGUCUGGUUUCUACCGUACCGCUUCCGACGUGAGGCAAUAGAACUACAUUUUCAAGACCAAACAGCUGCUCAGGGACAUUAGGCUCGUCUUCAAACACAUCAAGCCCAGCACCACCUAACCUUCCUUCAAGCAGUGCAGACACCAGCUCAGGUUCAUCAACAAGAGGACCUCUAGCAAUGUUGAUGAGGAUCCCCUUCGGACCUAAUGCAUUGAUGACCUCUCGAUUGACAAUGUGGCGGGUUUCUUCUGUUAGCGCACAUGCAACAACAAGGAUGUGACAGUUGGCAGCCAAUUCAACAACGCUUGGAUAGAACUUGUAUUUUACAUCCGGUUUCUCUGCUAUAUCAGUGUAACUAAUUGGACAGCUAAAUGCUUCUGCUCUUGUGGCAAUUGCCAUGCCAAUCCUGCCCAACCCAAUAAUGCCGACGGACUUCCCAGUAAACUGAAAAAGAAGAGAUUAACCAAUAAGUCUGAGAAGCAUCAAGAAUCAUAAGAAAAUCAAAGGCAACAAUACAAUGCAUUACAGUCCAAGUGGUCGUUUAGUGCUGCAGAGGGGCCUAAGCGCACUAACUCCCAGGUCUCUUGCAGUGCCACAUAUGACGUGAUUUGGUUAAAUUGAUAGCUUUUGGCAAUAUCCCAUGCAUCUAGAAGACAUUUUGAAUGCCAAAACAAAAAUGCCAUGUAGAUUGUUGCUGAAUGCUUGAAAGCUUAUGAAAGUUUUGCUUUCCAAUAAAUCUCUAUACAGGUGGACUCAAGGUCUUAAUACAAGUGAGAGAUACAACUGAGAAUCAAAAGAACAUAACAAAAGGAGAUACAUGUAAAGCAGUUUCAUGGUUACAUGUCCAAAAUUAAGCUUCUGCUCAAAAAGAUAACUUGUGCAGAUAGUAUCAAUUUACUUCCCCACAUAAUAUACAAAUAAAUUUAAUUCCCCAAAUAAUAUACAAAUAAAUACUUGAAAGCAGCAUUACAGAAAUUUAGCUGUUUGAAUACUUAGCAGCUCUAACAUCACAUAUUAAACAGCUGCAUUAAGGUAAUAUCCCCAAUAAUAAUGUCUUACUUGUGCGUGUCAUGAUGAUAAGAUAGAGAGAAAACUUUUAGUUCUUUACUUUGAACUCCCUGGUUCUUCAAAAUCCUUUUAUGCUUAUUUUUUUAUUAUACUCCCCGAGCCCAAAAUGCCAAAUGCACAUGCUGUGUGUCUUUGACUGCACAGUCCAGGAAUGUAAAGCCCCAGAAGGGCUGGAACCCAAGAAUACGAAAUUGAACAAUUAUAAUAGUAGUAUGAAACAAGGCAAGAAAAAUUGUAAAACAAAACCAUGGUAACAAUAACAACACUAGUAAAAGAAAACAAAGGCCGUUUCAUUGCUUUUGAUAAGAAAAAAUACGCAGAAGAAAAAAAAAAGCACAAAUCUAUUCCAGAAAAUUGAGAUAAAACAACCAAACACAAUUUAGAACCUACUGGGCACACAUUUUGAGGAGUGCUUCAUCAACUUAUCAGUGCUCAAGGGUGCAAAAUAUCACAAUUCUCAAAAGAUACAACUACACUGCAAAUGCGAUCAACACAAGGAUUUCUAUAUUGUCUUAAAUUUCCAAGCCCAACGUUUACUGAAAGGACAGUCAAGAGCAUUGCAGUUGCAACUAGCAAACUAUAAUAACAUCAAAGCCAACAGCCAUGCAUAGGCUACCAAAUAAAGUAUUAUAGACUAAAGCAUCCCCGAAACCAGAUCCAAUUAAUUUCACCAUCAAUUCAGACAAAGACAAAUACAUAAGAUGUGAGAAAAAACUGAAUUACACAGAAACAAUAUUUAGCCAUCCCACUCCCACAAGACUAAUUCAAUGCAUGGAUAUACUCUGCCAUGCACAAUCAUAAAACUACCUACAGGUUCAUUCGUUCAGACUCAGAAACAACUAAUCAAUCAUGACAGAAAUUCUGCUCAAAUCAGGAAGCAAAUCCAAAACAUACACACAACAGUCCCAUUGUUUAUCAAAGAUUCUCAUCAACGAAAGAUGAUAUCAUGAACUAUUUUUGGACUGCAUACAAAAUUUUCGCCCCUAAAUAAGCCUAAUACUUAAAAAUGCUUGCUUUCACUUUUAAUUUCCAGAUUUUUAUCCUUUUUUACUCAUCAGAAGGAUUCUCAAUAAUCAUCUAAUCCCAAUAAUCAUGUUAACAUCUAUUUUCCUUAAAAAAUUGGAUCCCUUUUCUCACUGUUUCAAAACAAUGAAACACGAAUCUCGAAAACAUUAUAGACCACAAAUGCAAACCUUAGUUGUCAACUUGUAGUCACCCUUUUUCCACUUGCCACUCCUGACAUACCGAUCACUCUCACACAGCCUCCUCAAUACCGCCAACGUCAACCCAAUAGCUAAAUCGGCGACGUCAUCUGUCAGAACAUCAGGCGUGUUAGUGACCCGUAUCCCUUUCUCCUUACACUUGGGCAAGUCAACCUUAUCAAGCCCGACGCUGUAAGUGGAGACAAUCUCCAGCUUCGGCAAUUGGUCGAUCAAAUCAGCAUCGGCACCAAACACAGCAUUUCCCACAACAGCGCGGAUAAAAUUCUUGUGAGAAUUGAUGAAAUGAGUCUUGUCUGGGGCGUUAUGAAGCUUGUAGAGAGUGAAGCGCUUCUCGAGUUCUUCGACGAGGUAGGGAUAGAUUGGAGGGAAAGUCAUUAGAACACCGAUCGACUCCAUUGGUUUACUUUGGUGAAGGAGUCCUAUUUGUAAGGAGAAGCGAAAUUUUCAGUGCGAGUGAUUAUGGAGCAGUUGCGAUUAUGGAAUCGUUGUGGUCAGUGUUGCAGCUUACAGGUGAGUUUUCUUUGAAUUUUAGUGUUUGGCUUAUAUUGCUAUUAAUAUUAGCUUAAAGGGGUUAAAUUUGUAAUUCUGCAUUCCAAAGUUAAUAUUUGAAAAUUGGGAAAUGGGGAAAACAAAGAAGUUCAGUUUUGUCAAAAAACACGUUUAAACAUCCUACUCAAUUAUGCCUUUUUGUCUCCAUAUUUUUCCAGCAUGAAAUCAUUUUUAAUGUAAAAUUUUAUUGCAGUUUGUAGUGCCUUCACAUGAAUGUGCUUUUUUUUUCUUUUACAUGAUAUAGAAAUGACAUGAAUGUGCCUUCACACGUUUAAGCAUCGGAUAUCUUUUUAUUUAUGAAUUCAGAGUUGAAAAAUAAUUAUUUAUGAAUUUGAAAUUGAAAAAUAAUUAUUUGUGAAUUUAAGCGUGGAUAAUCGAAAGAGUAUCAAAAAGAGUAUCUGAUACCUAUUUGACAGGCGUUAGAGUCUAACGCCAUUCUAAAUGGCGCCAGACUACUUUUUAUUUAUUUUUUUUAUUUUUAAAAAUUAUUUGGCGCUAUUGUAAAUGGCACCAGAUCAUUGUUUAUUUAUUUUUUAUUUUUUAAAAUGGUCUGGCGUCAUUUUGAGUAGCGGCCAUAAUUUUUUUAAUUUUAUUAAUUAUUAAAAUAUUAUAAUUAUAUUAAUUAAUUAAUAUAUUAUUUUUAUAUUAUAUUAAUUUAAUAAUUAUAUUUAUAUUAUAUUUUUUUAUUAUAAUAAAUUUUGUUAAUUUUAAUAUAUUUUUAUAAUAAUAUUAUAAUUAGAUACUAAUUAUAAAUUUAUUUAUAUGUUAUUAAAUAUAUAUAAAAAAUAUUGUAUUAAAUAAUUAAUAAAAAAAAUAAAUUAAUUAAUAUGAAUAUUUAAAAUUAUAAAAACUAAAUUUAUUUUUAUUGGACUGGUUUGUGCAGUUCUAGGAUUACAGAAUAAUAUUAAUUAUUAAAAUAUUAUAAUUAUAUUAAUAUAUUAUUUUUAUAUAAUGUUAAUUUAAUAAUUUUAUUUAUAUUAUAUUUUUUUAUUAUAAUAAAUUUUUUAUAUUACAUAUUAAUAAAUUAAUAUAAUAAUACUAUAAUUAAAUAGUACAAAUAAUCUUUUAUAUAUUUAAUAAUGAUAUUUUGAAAUUCAGAAUAGGAGAUUUAUAGUAGUGAUGUAAGCUUAGAUGGAAAGAAAUGUAUUUAUUCCCUUUUACCCUUUGAUCCUUUUUCCGUUAGUGACGUUUAACGGCCUGUCUGCUACAGUAUUAUAUGUUCUUGUGAUCCAGGUCCGUACGCACAGAAGCGUCAGAACCCUUUUCACGCUAGACGGCCAUUUAAUUUUUCAGCACGCAUGCGGACAGCGCUGCAAAUUGACUGAGUCUGCUGUCCUUCUUCAAGUCACAUCACUAGGCUGGAUCAGGAUCGAAGAUGCUGGACCGGUUAAAUGAAGUGGAUUUCUGAAACCUUGAGUCUAUUUCACUUUUUCGGAUUUAGCUUUCCUUAGAGUGAGAGAAGUCUGACGGUUAUCAAAUCAUAUAUUAAUAUAUUUCAUAACUCUCUAAAAUAUUAGGACAUUAACAUUAUUCUGUGAUUAUGUACACCUGGAUAAUAGCAUACCAAUAAAAAUAAAUUUAAUUUUUAUAAUUUUAAAUAUUUAUAUACUCAUAUAUUAAUUAAAUAAUAUAAUUAUAAUAUUUUAAUAAAUAAAUAAAAUAAAUAAAUAAUUAUUAUUUUGUGAUUAUGUACAACUGCAUAAUAGCAAUCUAAUAAAAAUAAAUUUAAUUUUUAUAAUUUUAAAUAUCCAUACACUCAUAUAUUAAUUAAUUAAUAUAAUUAUAAUAUUUUAAUAAAUAAAUAAAAAAAUAAAUAAUGGCAUGAUGCCGCUUACAAUGGCGUCAGGCUAUUCUUAAAAAAAAAAAAAUAAAUAAUGGCUUGGCGCCAUUUAGAAUAGCGUUAGACUCUGACACCAGAUACUCUUUUCGGCUGCCACAUGACAGUUCAACCCUAAAUAUAUAAAUAAUUCUUCUCCAACCUCAAAUUUACAAAUAAAAGAUCUCCCGCCCCUAGUUUGACAAAAAGCUUGAAAAGCAUUAAUAGGAAGUUACGAACCGAGUUGUGCAAGUUCCUUUAUCCCUAAUGCAACUUGAUACCAAAUGAUGAGCAGCAGAAAUAAAUUCCUGAAUUUGAUCCCUUUUGCUUAGAAUCUGCAAUUUCCCCUAUUACAACUCAAACAAAAAAAGAAGUACAAGAUAUGACUUCAAACAGCACAAAUUCCUGGCGAUAACCCAGGAGAGAUAUGAGUCAAACUCUUAAAAGUCCUGAAAUCAAAAUUAUGGAUGGAUGGAAAUCUGGAAAUUUGAGAUUUGUUCCCAGCUCACCUCUAAACAGGAUAGCUACUCUGCAAUUUCAAACUUAAAUACCAUAAAAUGCCAAUUAGGAGAUUUAAGAUGAAAUCUGUCAUCAACCAAUCAGUAGCAUUGACAGUGAAAACAAAUUUAUGGCACGCAAAAAGCAAAAGAAAGAGGGGGAAGCAAUAUUUUUCUCAAUUAUUUAAAGGAUGCAUUAAUACUAUUGAUGAAUUUCUGAUAUCUCUUAAAAUGUCAGUUCCUUACAUCACAGCUUAUCAAAAAACACAGGAAAAACCAACAGCCAGAACAACGCACAUUCCAAUAAAUGCAUCCAAACAACUAUCAAAUUAAAUAAUAUUGAAAAAGAUUAAAAAACACAAACCUUUGUUGUCAAUUUAAAAUCAGCUUCUCUCCAUUUCCCACUUCUCACAUGUCUAUCACAAGCACAAAUCCUCCUCAAAACCCCCAAUAUCAAACCGAUUGCCAGGUCAGCAACAUCAUCAGUCAACACAUCAGGGGUAUUUGUAACCCUAAUUCCCUUCUCCUCACACUUUUUCAAAUCAAUUUUAUCCAGUCCCACACUGUACGAAGCCACAAACUCCAAUUUUGACAAUGCAUCAAUCAGCUCCGCAUC